rnacentral:rRNA from 1 species
GACGAACGCUGGCGGUGUGCUUAACACAUGCAAGUCGAACGGUAAGGCCCUUUCGGGGGUACACGAGUGGCGAACGGGUGAGUAACACGUGAGUAACCUGCCCUCAUCUCUGGGAUAACAGUCGGAAACGGUUGCUAAUACUGGAUAUGAGCUUGCAAGGCAUCUUGUGGGUUGGAAAGAUUUUUUUGGUUGGGGAUGGACUCGCGGCCUAUCAGCUUGUUGGUGAGGUAGUGGCUCACCAAGGCUUCGACGGGUAGCCGGCCUUAGAGGGCGACCGGCCACAUUGGGACUGAGAUACGGCCCAAACUCCUACGGGAGGCAGCAGUGGGGAAUAUUGCACAAUGGACGGAAGUCUGAUGCAGCAACGCCGCGUGCGGGAUGACGGCCUUCGGGUUGUAAACCGCUUUCAAUUGUGACGAAGCUUUUUGUGACGGUAGCAGUAGAAGAAGCACCGGCUAACUACGUG